GCCAGCAUGGUACAGUGGUUUGAGCAUCAGACUACAACUCUGAAGAUUAGGGUUCAAUUCCCAGCUUGGCC